GACCUCUCAUUCUUUCAUUCUCGUCCUUGGAUUGGCCGUGAGACAUUUAUCCACUCUCUUUAGGCCUGCGCGUUGCAAGACGGGAGAAAAGGAGGGGCGUCCGCAGGCAAGAUGGAGCCGACUGUGGCCGGUGUGGGCCGGCUAGAGGAAGAGGCACUGCGGCGAAAGGAACGGCUGAAGGCCCUACGGGAGAAAACCGGGCGCAAGGACAAGGAAGAUGGGGAGCCAAAGACCAAGCAACUUAGAGAAGAGGAGGAAGAAGGCGAGAAGCACCGGGAACUUAGACUGCGGAACUAUGUCCCAGAGGAUGAGGACCUGAAGAAAAGGAGGGUGCCCCAGGCCAAACCAGUUGCAGUGGAAGAGAAGGUGAAGGAGCAACUGGAGGCCGCCAAGCCCGAGCCUGUCAUUGAGGAGGUGGUGAGUGCCCGGGCUGCCCUGGCCUCCUUGCUGCUUGUGUGUGUCCUGUUUCUCUUCCCCACCUGCCCUCCCGCUGCCCCCUUCCUUCUCGUCGCUUCGUUAUUCCCUUGCCACCUGCCUCUUUGUCCUUGUCCCUCUCCUUCCUCCUCCUCUUUCUCCCAUCUCUCUCCCUCUCUAGCCUGCCUUCCCCCUUCCCCUGGGGCAGCCUCUCCGUCCUGAUAUGUGUCUCCUCCCUCUCCAGGAUCUGGCCAACCUCGCUCCUCGGAAGCCUGACUGGGACCUCAAGAGAGAUGUGGCCAAGAAGCUGGAGAAACUAAAAAAGAGGACUCAGAGGGCCAUUGCCGAGCUGAUCCGUGAAAGACUGAAAGGUCAGGAAGACAGUCUAGCCUCUGCAGUGGACGCUGCCACCGAACAGAAGGCCUGUGACUCUGAUUGAGGCAUGCCCUGCCCUGCCAUGCGCCUGUCAGGCCUGUCCUGCAGGGGUGGUCUUGGGCAGGGAUUGGAGCGAGGCUUGCCAUCGCCUCCAGUUUGGCUUCUGAGCAGACUCCCUGUCAAGUCUGAAACCCCCAUGGGUGAGGUCAGCUCCUUGUCUCCUGAGUGGCCCCUGCCAUUCUAAAUGGAGGCAGAACAGCAGCAGCUCUGGGUGUGCCUGUGUCUGUACAUGUGUAUGUAUAUAUGUCUGUAUAGAUGUAUGUAUUCUGAACUUUGAAAAAAAAUCUCUGGAAAUAGACAAGAAAACCCCUGUGUGUGGCA